rnacentral:rRNA from 1 species
AGGACGAACGCUGGCGGCGUGCUUAACACAUGCAAGUCGAGCGACGCGCCCUUUCGGGGGUGACGGAGCGGCGAACGGGUGAGUAACACGUGGGCAACCUGCCCUCAGCUCUGGGACAACUCCGGGAAACCGGGGCUAAUACCGGAUAUGACAUCGGACUGCAUGGUCUGGUGUGGAAAGUUUUUCGGCUGAGGAUGGGCCCGCGGCCUAUCAGCUUGUUGGUGGGGUGAUGGCCUACCAAGGCGACGACGGGUA